UGGGGAAUAUUGUACAAUGGGCGCAAGCCUGAUGCAGCCAUGCCGCGUGUGUGAAGAAGGCCUUCGGGUUGUAAAGCACUUUCAGCGAGGAGGAAGGUGGUGAGCUUAAUACGCUCAUCAAUUGACGUUACUCGCAGAAGAAGCACCGGCUAACUCCGUGCCAGCAGCCGCGGUAAUACGGAGGGUGCAAGCGUUAAUCGGAAUUACUGGGCGUAAAGCGCACGCAGGCGGUUUGUUAAGUCAGAUGUGAAAUCCCCGGGCUCAACCUGGGAACUGCAUUUGAAACUGGCAAGCUAGAGUCUCGUAGAGGGGGGUAGAAUUCCAGGUGUAGCGGUGAAAUGCGUAGAGAUCUGGAGGAAUACCGGUGGCGAAGGCGGCCCCCUGGACGAAGACUGACGCUCAGGUGCGAAAGCGUGGGGAGCAAACAGGGUUAGAUACCCUGGUAGUCCACGCUGUAAACGAUGUCGAUUUUGGAGGUUGUGCCCUUGAGGCGUGGCUUCCGGAGCUAACGCGUUAAAUCGACCGCC
rnacentral:rRNA from 1 species